GGGUGCAAGCGUUAUCCGGAUUCACUGGGUUUAAAGGGUGCGUAGGUGGGGUGGUAAGUCAGUGGUGAAAUCUCCGGGCUUAACUUGGAAACUGCCGUUGAUACUAUCAUUCUUGAAUAUCGUGGAGGUAAGCGGAAUAUGUCAUGUAGCGGUGAAAUGCUUAGAUAUGACAUAGAACACCGAUUGCGAAGGCAGCUUGCUACACGAUCAUUGACACUGAGGCACGAAAGCGUGGGGAUCAAACAGG
rnacentral:rRNA from 1 species